rnacentral:rRNA from 1 species
AUUGAACGCUGGCGGCAGGCCUAACACAUGCAAGUCGAACGGUAGCACAGAGAGCUUGCUCUCGGGUGACGAGUGGCGGACGGGUGAGUAAUGUCUGGGAAACUGCCCGAUGGAGGGGGAUAACUACUGGAAACGGUAGCUAAUACCGCAUAACGUCGCAAGACCAAAGUGGGGGACCUUCGGGCCUCACACCAUCGGAUGUGCCCAGAUGGGAUUAGCUAGUAGGUGGGGUAAUGGCUCACCUAGGCGACGAUCCCUAGCUGGUCUGAGAGGAUGACCAGCGAAACUGGAACUGAGACACGGUCCAGACUCCUACGGGAGGCAGCAGUGGGGAAUAUUGCACAAUGGGCGCAAGCCUGAUGCAGCCAUGCCGCGUGUAUGAAGAAGGCCUUCGGGUUGUGAAGUACUUUCAGCGGGGAGGAAGGCGGUGGAGUUAAUAACUUCACCGAUUGACGUUACCCGCAGAAGAAGCACCGGCUAACUCCGUGGCAGCAGCCGCGGUAA